GGGGAUUUAGCUCAGUGGUAGAGCGCUUGCCUAGCGAUUGCAAGGCCCUGGGUUCGGUCCCCAGCUCCG
rnacentral:tRNA from 1 species